GAUGAACGCUGGCGGUAUGCUUAACACAUGCAAGUCGAACGGAAUCUUCGGAUUUAGUGGCGGACGGGUGAGUAACGCGUGAGAAUCUAGCUCUAGGUCGGGGACAACCACUGGAAACGGUGGCUAAUACCGGAUGUGCCGAAAGGUGAAAGGCUUGCUGCCUAGAGAUGAGCUCGCGUCUGAUUAGCUAGUUGGUGUGGUAAGAGCGCACCAAGGCGACGAUCAGUAGCUGGUCUGAGAGGAUGAUCAGCCACACUGGGACUGAGACACGGCCCAGACUCCUACGGGAGGCAGCAGUGGGGAAUUUUCCGCAAUGGGCGAAAGCCUGACGGAGCAAUACCGCGUGAGGGAGGAAGGCUCUUGGGUUGUAAACCUCUUUUCUCAGGGAAUAAGAAAGUGAAGGUACCUGAGGAAUAAGCAUCGGCUAACUCCGUGCCAGCCGCCGCGGUAAUAC
rnacentral:rRNA from 1 species